rnacentral:lncRNA from 1 species
ACAAGGGCCAGACUCCGAGCUUCUACUGCAAGCGAUCUACUCAGAGCUUCUACUGCAAGAGAUCUACUCCGAGCUUCUACUGUAGGCUUCGACCGAGCUUCCUUGACAAAUGAUCCCCAUCCGGGCUCCUACAGAGAUCGGACUCCGAUCGAACUUCUAUAGCGGAUAGAUUCUGAACGAACUCCUACGACACAUAGACUCCAGC